rnacentral:sRNA from 1 species
AAGCAUCAAGUGUUUUCCUCCAACCCUUUCUAUGUUGCCGGAGAUUCUUAUUCCGGUUUGGUUGUUCCCGCUACCGUUCAAGAAAUCUCAAAAGGUAUAUACACUACAUAGUUUUACAAUAUCAAUCCCACAAGCCUUUUUCUCAAUUAAUUAUUAUUAUUAGAUUAUGGGCUUCCAACUCAAAACCAAUUGACAAUAGGUGGAGAGGCCCAUAUCUUAUAUAUACCACUUAAGAUCCUACUCAACUUCCGAUGUGGGACAAUAUCCCUAAUAAUUCUAACAAAAGAAUCAUGCAUGGUGAUGCAGGAAAUUAUGAAUGCUGCAAUCCUCCAAUAAAUCUUCAGGGCUAUGUGCUCGGUAACCCGUUAACAGACUAUACAACUGGUAGUAACAGCCGCAUUCCAUUUGCCCAUGGAAUGGCACUGAUAUCUGAUGAACUCUACGAG